AUUUAUUGGUAGGUGGGGAUGGGUUUGCAAUAUUUCUUUGAUAUUUCAUUGCUUUCGUUAAUAUUGCACUUGUCCCGGCCUAUCAAUGUAUG
rnacentral:pre_miRNA from 1 species